UGCACGAUUUUUGUGGGCCGUCUUUCCCACUCCACCACUGAAGAAACUCUUCGCCAGGCUAUGAGCAUAUAUGGAAGAGUAAAGAACUUGAGAUUAGUCAGACACAUUGAGGAAACGAUGGAGAAGUGUCAGUCUUCCUUCUGAAACAGAGGAAACGAUGGAAACAUGGCGAAUUGGCAUUUCAGAUUGCUGAGGAGUUCGCCUGCCAGUAUGUUAGCUUGCCCUUUGAUUGCCAGAAGGUUCCCCAUAUCGUUUCUGUUGUUGAAGUUUAGUCUAGUUCUAGGUUGUUGAACUUGGUUUGAUGCUAAAUUCAGGCUGUAGUCUUGUUUGGUUCUGUAUCAGCUUAUGCUGUUUGUUGAUCUUCUUGUAUACGAACUACAUUUGGAAUUGUGUGCUGAAAUAUUUGUAAAUAUAAUGGCUGUUACACGUUUGCUUUAUGAUUCAUUAAACGAGUAUGUUAGCUUCGUUUAGCUGGUUGAUUUGGAAAUAUACAUCUUUUUUUAUCUCA